GGACUUGGGGAUUACUGAAGGAAUAUGUCAGAAUACAGACAGGAAGGGCCAGGAAACCUCUCACUGGGUCAGGAGCAAGUAUUGAAGAGUGAGGGUGCUUCCAGCUGUGAUGGACAAUGAUGCUGUCUGUCUUCCUUAUCCCAGAAGAUGCAUUCUGCCUGAAGACCACCUUGUGCUAAAUGCUGCACAUUCAUAGGACAGAAAGAUAUUUUCUGGUCUGAAGAGAACUUAACACCAGGAAAGAAGCAGCAGAUAGAAGAGCAGGUGUGAUGGUACUUGGAAAAAAUGCAACGGGACUGUCCCACUCUUGGUUUCAGAAGCUCAAAGACCAGAAGCAACUCAAAAGUCCCUGCAGCUGAGUGAAUAGAAGGCACUUCAUCUACAGAGAUAAAUGAUCCAAAGGCUUUUCCUUCUGUAAAUCUGAUGCAGCCACAACCCUUCAGCCCCUGCAGGACUUUUCUCCCAGAGUCACAGCUAAAUCAGUGUCACACUGAGUAAACAUGGGCUGUGCCUUACAGCCUGGACUGUUUUGGAAGACACCUGAAAAAGAUUCUGAAGUCUUU